rnacentral:rRNA from 1 species
CAGUCGCCGCGGGAAUACGGAGGGAGCUAGCGUUGUUCGGAAUUACAGGGCGUAAAGCGCACGUAGGCGGCUAUUCAAGUCAGGGGUGAAAGCCCGGGGCUCAACCCCGGAACUGCCUUUGAAACUAGAUAGCUUGAAUCUUGGAGAGGCGAGUGGAAUUCCGAGUGUAGAGGUGAAAUUCGUAGAUAUUCGGAAGAACACCAGUGACGAAGGCGACUCGCUGGACAAGUAUUGACGCUGAGGAGCGAAAGCGUGGGGAGCGAACAGGAUUAGAUACCCCGGUAGUCCCUGUCUCUUAUAC